AACAAGGCGUACCUGCGGACCUGCGGAGGGAUCAUUACAAAUCCAAACAACAAAUACCCGUUGAAAUGUUUUCGGCCUUGGUUGUUGCAAUGCGCAUGUAUUUCGCAUACAUCUGCAUGCUGUGUAAAAAUGGAAGUGUCGUCACUUCCACCCAAGGUCCGGUAUUCCAUAACAACAACGUUAUUUAUUAUGGCCAUACUUAAUGUGUGACUACAAAAACAACUUUUAACAAUGGAUCUC
rnacentral:misc_RNA from 1 species